CCUACGGGAGGUAGCAGUGAGGAAUAUUGGUCAAUGGUCGGGAGACUGAACCAGCCAAGCCGCGUGAGGGAUGAAGGUACAGAGUAUCGUAAACCUCUUUUGUCAGGGAACAAAGGCGGGGACGUGUCCCCGGAUGAGUGUACCUGAAGAAAAAGCAUCGGCUAACUCCGUGCCAGCAGCCGCGGUAAUACGGAGGAGGCGAGCGUUAUCCGGAUUUAUUGGGUUAAAGGGGUGCGCAGGCGGUCUGUUAAGUCAGCGGUAAAAGCCCGGGGUUCAACCCCGGCCCGCCGUUGAAACUGGCAGUCUCGAGUUGGAGAGAGGUAUGCGGAAUGCGCGGUGUAGCGGUGAAAUGCAUAGAUAUCGCGCAGAACUCCGAUUGCGAAGGCAGCAUGCCGGCUCCACACUGACGCUGAGGCACGAAAGCGUGGGUAUCGAACAGGAUUAGAUACCCCAGUAGUC
rnacentral:rRNA from 1 species